CGUGUUCGUCGUAGAUAUUUGUUUAUGAAAACUUUAGAUUUUAUUUGUUUAUUCUGGAUAGAUAAUUUUCAGGUUAAAUUAUCUAUCCAGAAUUUUUGAGCGGCGAUUUCAAUUGUUAGUAGAGGAGAGGAGAGAAGUGAAGAGAAGAGACGAUGAGAGAAGAAAAAGUGGGUAAUAACAAGCAGAAGAGGAGCGAAGAAUUGGCUGUGGAGGGGCAGAGGCAUCUAGAAGGCACCGUUGAAGCAGCGCAUCAGAUUCUUGCUUCCAUGAAUCAAGAGCUCUGCAACCCCUCUCUCUGGAUACCCCCCACCACCAGAGACCACGACCCCUCCGGUGGAAGCGGAGGCGGUGCACUGGAUGACGCAAGGCUCCGCUACAAAAAGUCUGUCGAUUCACUCAGGGAUGUCAUUUCUCUCAUCUCCUCAUCUCAGACUAAACCACACGAGGGAGAUACCAUAAUGGGAACAGAAAAUAAUGGAGAUCAAGCCGAGAUACAAAUACUAGAACAACGGGCUUCAGAGCUCAGAGAGGAGGUUACCAAAAAGAAUCAUCAUUUGAAAGUUCUUAUAGACCAACUUCGAGAUCUUGUCAGUGAUAUUUCCAUGUGGCAGAGUCCGAUCUUAUGAUUUUGUUUGAAUUAUGACUUUCAUUGAAGAAAACUGGUUUGACAAUGCUAGAAAAAUUGGGAAUCAAGUACAGCCAAUUGCUGCAAUCCUAUUUCUCCGCUGUCAUGAAAUUUUAUGGUGGAUUUGCUCCUCAGGAAAUUGCAUUUGGGACAUGAUGCGACUUGCAUCUGAUUGAUAUUCAGUAUAGUGGUAGAAUUGCAUGCAGUCAAGCGUCUUACAUGCACACAUGUUCGGCAAAUGUCAUUUUGAUUGUAUGAAGAGCUUCAAUAGCGUGUGAAAACGUGUCCUAGUACCAAAAUGGACAGUUUUAUUUUCUCUGACAAAUCUCUCUCUUAUACAUGGAAAUUGCAUUUCUUGAACAUC